rnacentral:lncRNA from 1 species
GUUAAUCCCAGCUGUCUAAUGGGAAAAUAGCUACCACCUGAAAAAAGUAGGCCAAAAAUCAAAGAGAAGCACCAUUUUGUGUGUGUGUGUUACUUUAGGAUACCGCUUUAAUCUAAGGUCUCUCCUUCUGCUGUGGGAAUGGAGGUCCAUGGUUUGCCUUUAAAACUGAUAAGCUGCUGGGCUGGGCUUGUGGCUCAGUGGCAGAGUGCUUGCCUGGAGCAUGUGAGGAGCUGUGUUUGAUCCUCAGCACCAAUAAAAAAUUAAGUAAACAAAGUAAAGAUUGUGACUAGUAUACCUAACAAACAAACAACAACAACAACAGCAACGGCAACAAAAAACUGAUAAGCUCCUCACUGACCACGCAUUCUCUACAAAAUCUUUCACAAGUUUACAAACCCAGUCUCUGUUCAAACACAUUGGUAAACAGACAAUCACACAAGUAUAUCACAGCAAAUUCGAUGAUGGAAAGAUGGAUGGGGAUUUGGUGAGUCCCUAGUGGAGGGUGACUGAGUCUCCUACCUCGUGCUGUGAAAGGAAGGAUCACAAAGGAGGUGCAACAUGCUGUGGGUGUGGAGGCUUCGGGAGCUACGUCAGGAGAGCCAGGCCUUCACCAGAAGGAUAUUUUAUUCACUUUCCCCAUCUACUACCACUUAAUAUAUGGUGGGCAAUUUAGGCCUUGGCUCAGACCUCAGCCACCGUCAUUCUACAGACAUCUCAAGUUUUUUUUUUGUGCCAGGAUGCAACAACUUUAACCAAGGAAUGAUUUCAGGAAAAUAAGAAGAUUUGGGGAUCAAAAGGAAAUUCUGGAGGACUGGCAUGUGAAAUAAGCAUAUGCAAAUGAAAUGAUAUUAAAUACACUGAUAACAAUUUUCUGAACAUUCCUUAAGUCACUUUUCCCAAAUCAGGCCACCUGCCUAGGUACACUCAAUUUUUGACAAGCUCUGUAAUCCACUCUUUUAACUUCAGUUGGUCUUCUGGGAUCAGAGCAAGAAAGUAGAGGGUGGGCACCAGAUUGCCACAUUUGCUUGAUUCCCAUCAACCCCUGAUGAUGUCUAUAUGCCUCUAUGUCAUCACCACUGGCCAGGGUGAUCUUGUGGGCAUGUAUUACAAUAACCUUCCAGAUUGGCGGGGCACAAUAAAUUUUGAACCAUGACUUGAAAGGGUGUCCACUGUUAUAUCAUUAGCUAUGAACUUCAUUUUUGUAAAAAUUAGGGAAUUAGAUAAUUUAGGAGGAUAACAGAGUUGUUGGUAACUUAUGGAGUAAACUUAUAAUUUGGCAUUAUCUAAGAUGGAGAAAGGAACAUUUUUCUUUUUGAGAUGACUCUUCUUGGUGGGGCUAUACUAAUGGAUCCUGAAGCAAAUAAAAUUUAUCUAACAGUGGUGGUUCUUUACCUCUUUUCUACUAUAAUAGAUAUGCUCACAUAUAAAACACUAUCAUGGGUGAGUGUAGAUUCAGAUGUGUGAAUUACUGCUUGGAUAAAAGAUAUUUUGGAUAAUGCACCAAUAACAUACUCUAGUUUCUUCCAGUUGAGAGCUGAAUGCAAAGCAGUAAAGGUCUUGUUCCUUGUUCCCACAGUGUCUCUGGCCUAGAUUAACGCAAGCAAAUUCAAAGAUCCAGGACAGAUGUGGAAUGAUGUAAGUGGCGGAGAUGGAGUGGGGAGUGUGUGGGAGGACACAUCAGUCAGUGUGUUUUCUGCUGGAGAGAAAAGAUUUUAAGCAACUAAAAUGUGAGUCGGAGGGUAUAUUGUGGUUUGCCUCUUGCUAGGUGUACCCAUGGAAGUAUUUUGUAUAUAUAGUCACACAAGAUGUAGCAGAAUAAAAAAAAAGCUGGAAAAUUGCUACUAAUUGAGACUUUGAAAAAUGAUCAUGAUCUCAGUUAAGAAUGAAGUGAUAUAUUAGAGUAAACCCUAUUUCUCUGGAUUUGUGACAAUCUGGGCUAUUUUUGGUAAACUAUUAGUGGGUCAUACUAGGUUUCUCGGCCUAGCAUCUGGAGAACAACACAAUUUCAGGACUUUUAUGAAGAAAAGAAGGGAUGUUGAAAUUACACAUAGAACCAGUCUGGGAUUUCAACAUUCUUUUUGCUUUUAGUAAAUGGAAACAAUUUUUUUGAAGAUCAGUAUCUCAAAAUAUAUGGCCUUUUGAGAGGAGCUCUGCUGUGUCAUCCAAGAUUUUUUAGAAGAUAAAACUAGCAAAAGUUUUGGUAGUUGUGCUUGUUUUCAGCCACUCUGAUGAAGAAUUAAUUUUCAUCUUUCAAUGGAUAAUGCAUGUUUAUAAAAGCCUUAACUAGUAUCAUGAAAAUACUAUGGGAAUUGGAGUUGAAAAUCAUGAACCUGGAUUUUAUGAAUGAGUUAACUAGUUAAAUAUUCAUUGUACUCCUACUACAUGUUCUACAUCAUGCCAACAAGGAUGGAUCAGAUUAGCUCUGUCUCUGAAAGUAGUACAACCCGUGGAUCAUAAAUUAUUUAUCGAUAUGAACAUUUACCCACCUCAUAUGAGACUGUAAAC